AAGUCCUCCAGCCCGAUCCCCACGCAUUCUGCUUCAAACUGAAUGUUCAUCCAGCCAUCGCUUUUUGAUAAAUCAUGGCUUAUCGCAUUAUCACUAUCAAGUGAUUCGUCCACAUCGGGCCUUAGCCUUAAGUACCAGUUUAUAUCUGUCCAAACGUCCUCCAGAACGUGGUAUCCCACAGGCAUCGGAUGGACAUGAGACCGGCAAGUUAAAGGCAUUGGCCAGUAAGAAAAUGCUCUCUCGUAGAUUUCUAACAGUACCUCGUUGAUUAAAUCAAACAAAAGCAGAUGCUUACAGCUGCCGCCUUCUUCAUUUCCAGAACAAUCAGGUUGAGCUACUAAACAACCUUCUACUUCCUCAAACACUGACGGGGCCACUGGCUGCUCCUCAGAAUGCCAUUUCCCAAGGAACUCGGUUCCACUGAAGCCAGACAGCUCCAGCACAUCUCUAACAUAAUUGAAUUCAGCCUUAUUUUUCAUGUCAACCUGGACGUGCAAUAGAUUAUUGUAGGAUUGCUUCAGCGAAGUUUCUACUUGCUCAACAUUAAU
rnacentral:lncRNA from 1 species